GUGCGGUUUUGCCUCGACCCCAUCCCUGGGGAGAAGAGGCUCCUUCCUGCCGCCCCGAGCCCGGCUCAUGUUCAAAGCCCGGAGCAGACAGCGGCUAAUGAGGCCAGACAAUAGGGAGCUGCGUGGGGCAGCAGCGCUGGCACGGGCCGCCGCCGCCCCGAAGCCAGGCGCGGGACGGCCCCGCCACCGUGGGGCAGCGGGGACAGGACGGGACGGGGCAGCACCCGCUCCACGCCACCCUCACCGUGGGCAGGGCACGUGCCCACCCAGCCCACCCAGCCCACCCAGCAUUUUGGGGGGCAGGGGAGCGGUGGCGGUGCUGUCGGGGUGCCCCAUCCCCGCCGUGCCAAAGGGGCACCCCAAUGCCGUGGGGUCACGGGGCCGGGCACAAGCUCCAGGCGGAGGGGCUGGGGUGGCACGGGGGGCACGGGUGGCACGGGGUGGGUCGGGGGGCACGGGGCUGCCCGCUGCCGGCCGGCCCCGUCCCCAUGCAGCUCCAGCUGCCCGCAGCCGGUGGCCCCGUUGGGGCUGCGCCGGCGCCAGGCCCGGCCCCGGAGCGCCUCAGAGCCGCCUUUGUGCAGCGCUCCCGGCACAUGUGGGGCACUGGGAGCCAGCUGGGGGCACCGGGACCGUUUUCCAGAGCUGCCCCCAUCCCACAAGCUCAGACGCCCCCGGGGCAGCCACCAUCCCUCGGGCUGGGGCACUCCUGGCAUUCCUAAGGGCACGCAGGGCCGGGGAUGAGCGAUGCCCGGGCGCAACGGGAGGAGCUGCCUCAGUUUCCCCCAUGCCAAGGCCGCAGCUUCCCCGGCUUUCCUUCCUUCCCGGGAAAGGGGAGGGAGCUUCCCCCGCCGCUUCCCCACAUCCCCGCGGCCGAGCCAGGAGACUGUGACGAGCUCUGGGUGCGCGGAGCCAGCGCCGGAUUCCUGGCACCGGCGGGGCGGCCGGGAGCCAUCGCCCGCCUCCGCCCCGCUCGGCCCCGCUCGCUCCCCGCCGUCCCCCUGGGCCGCCGCCGCGGGCACCGGGCGGUGACGCUGGCACGGCCGCGCAGCCCCCAGCCCUCCCCUGCCGCCGGAUCCCGGGCCAGCGGGGACGCCGGGAGAGAGGAGCGGGGACAGGCCUUUCCAUGGUGUCUGCUACCUGCCCGCCGCCGCCCUCGCCAGCCCGGGCACAUGGGGGCGAAGAGCAGGAUCGGUGCCGGGUGCCGCUCUGCCAGCCUCCACCCCACGUCCCCACUGCCCUCCCUGCGCCAAGGACCCCAAAGAUCCGGGCUCCUGUCCCCCCCCAGCCUCUGCCACCGAUGGGCAGGGGGCUGGGGUCCCGCUCCGGGACUUUCCUCUGCCCAGCAGCAGCCGGAGGGAUUUGGGGAUGCCGAGGGCACAAGUUGUGGGGUGCGUGUUGCUGGGGCUCUGCAGGGUGUGGGGGGGGGGGUUGGGGGACAAAACAGAGCGGGUGGGGGGGCUGUGUGCCCUGGGGGUGGGCUUCAGGGGGUGCGUGAAGAUGGAUGGUGCCCUGCAGUGCCCCCAUGUCCCCGGGGAACCCAAGCGGCCUGGGAGGGGACAGAGUGGAUUUGGGAGUCCCCGGGAUGCCCCUUGCCCACAGAUGCCCCAUGCCAGGGGAGAAUAUUGGGGGGGGGAGCAUUGUAAUGGGGGUGCCCUGCAAAUGCCAAGGGGGCUGUGGGUGGGUUCCCAGGGGCCUGGGGGGGGGUGGGGGCACGUGGAUGGGGGCGCACCCAGCAUGCCCAGUGCCUAGGGAUACCCCAAAUCCCGGGGGGGGGGUUGUCCUACACUGUCCUGGGUGGUGUUGGGUGGAUCGGGGGGGUCCCCAGCAUGCCACGGGGGUGACGGCAUCCCCCAGGUACCCCAUACCCGGGGAAGGGGUCAAUGGAUGGGGGGGUUCCCAGGGAUGCCCCAUGCCCAGGGGCACCCCGUGCCUCAGGGGGUGGGUGGCAAACAGAGGGGGGGGCUCCCCAAAACACCCAUGCCGGGCGUCACCCCAAUCCCCCUGGGACCACCUACAGCCACCGGGGUGUCCCAGAACGACCCAGGGCCGGGGG
ensembl:lncRNA